AUGAUUCCCGGAACUGCCUGGCGGAGGAGGCCUUGCUGCUGCGCGCACCCCUUGUGGACUUCCGCUUCGAGUCUUGCGCGCCGGAGGCGGACCCCGAUGAGGUUCACCUGCUCGCUCUUCGCCGUUGAUCGAGGUGGAUCGGGCGAAACCUUUGAUCCAAUAAAGUGCUAAACUCCGGCCUGUUGCGCCUGAAUACUGUGUGCAUGGAAUAAUGGAAUAGGACCUCGGUUCUAUUUUGUUGGUUUUCGGAACCCGAGGUAAUGAUUAAUAGGGACAGGCGGGGGCAUUCGUAUUGCGACGUUAGAGGUGAAAUUCUUGGAUCGUCGCAAGACGGACCGAAGCGAAAGCAUUUGCCAAGUAUGUUUUCAUUAAUCAAGAACGAAAGUUAGAGGUUCGAAGGCGAUCAGAUACCGCCCUAGUUCUAACCAUAAACGAUGCCAGCUAGCGAUCCGCCGAAGUUCCUCCGAUGACUCGGCGGGCAGCUCCCGGGAAACCAAAGCUUUUGGGUUCCGGGGGAAGUAUGGUUGCAAAGCUGAAACUUAAGGAAUUGACGGAAGG
rnacentral:rRNA from 1 species